rnacentral:rRNA from 1 species
UACGUAGGAGGCAAGCGUUGUCCGGAAUCACUGGGCGUAAAGAGCGUGUAGGCGGUCUGCCAAGUCUGUUGUGAAAGCGCCUGGCUUAACCGGGCGAGGUCGGUGGAAACUCCUGGUCUAGAGGCCGGUAGAGGGGGGUGGAAUUCCGGGUGUAGUGGUGAAAUGCGUAGAGAUCCGGAGGAACACCCGUGGCGAAGGCGGCCCCCUGGGCCGCGCCUGACGCUGAGACGCGAAAGCGCGGGGAGCGAACGGG